AUUUAAAUAAUUUAUUAAAAUAUUGAUUUGUGAUAUCAAAAAUAUAGAAAUUAUCUAUUUUAAAUU
rnacentral:tRNA from 1 species